rnacentral:rRNA from 1 species
CCUACGGGUGGCAGCAGUGGGGAAUAUUGCUCAAUGGGGGAAACCCUGAUGCAGCGACGCCGCGUGAGGGAUGAAGUAUUUCGGGUUGUAAAGCCCUUUCAGUAGAGAAGAAAAUGACGGUAUCUGACUAAUAAGCCCCGGCUAACUACGUGCCAGCAGCCGCGGUAAUACGGAGGGUGCAAGCGUUAUGCGGAUUUACUGGGGGUAAAGUGAGCGUAGACGGGCUAGCAAGUCAGAUGUGAAAGCCUAGGGCUUAACCAUAGAACUGCUUUUGAAACUGCUGUGCUAGAGUACGGGAGAGGUAGGCGGAAUUCUUGGUGUAGCGGUGAAAUGCGUAGAUAUCAAGAGGAACACCCAUUGCGAAGGCGACCUGCUAGACUAUAACUGACGUUGAUGCGCGAAAGCGUGGGGAGCAAACAGGAUUAGAUACCCGUGUAGUC